AAGGGCCGCAGUAUUUUGACUGUGCAAAGGUAGCAUAAUCAAUAGUUUUUUAAUUGGAAGCUUGUAUGAAAGAUUGGACGAGAUAAAAACUGUCUUCUUAAUAAUUUAAAUUAGAAUUUAAAUUUUAAGUUAAAAAGCUUAAAUUUUUAUAAAAGACGAGAAGACCCUAUAGAGUUUUAUAUAUUUUUAUAAUUUUAAUAUUAAGUUUAAUUAAUUAUAAUUUUAAAUAUUUAUUUUAUUGGGGUAAUAAAAAGAUUAAAAUAAUUCUUUUUUUUAUAAACAUUAAUAUAUGAUUUUUUGAUCCUAUUUUAUAGAUUAAAAGAUUAAAUUACCUUAGGGAUAACAGCGUAAUUUUUUUAGAGAGUUCAUAUCGAUAAAAAAGUUUGCGACCUCGAUGUUGGAUUAAAGAUUAAUUUAGGGGUAGAAUUUUAAAUGUUUGGUCUGUUCGACCAUUAAAUCUUUACAUGAUCUGAGUUCAAACCGGUGUAAGCCAGGUUGGUUUCUAUCUUUAUGUGAUUUUAAUAGUUUAGUACGAAAGGACCAAUUAUUAUUUAUAUUUAUAAAUAUAAUUUUUGAUUAUAAUUGUUAUUUUGGCAGAAUAGUGCAAUGAAUUUAGAAUUCAUUUAUAUAAUUAAUAGUUAUAAAUAAUAU
rnacentral:misc_RNA from 1 species